rnacentral:rRNA from 1 species
AAUGAACGCUGGCGGCAUGGAUUAGGCAUGCAAGUCGAACGGGGCGCCCUCGGGCGCCUAGUGGCGAAAGGGUGAGUAACACGUGAGCAACCUGCCCCCGAGUCCGGAAUAAGCGGUGGAAACGCCGUCUAAUGCCGGAUGCGGACCGCGGCCUCCUGGCCGCGGCUCCAAAGAUUUAUCGCUUGGGGAUGGGCUCGCGCCCCAUUAGCUAGUUGGCGGGGUAAGCGCCCACCAAGGCUACGACGGGUAGGUGGACUGAGAGGUUGGUCACCCACACUGGGACUGAGACACUGCCCAGACUCCUACGGGAGGCUGCAGUCGAGAAUCUUCCGCAAUGGGCGAAAGCCUGACGGAGCGAUGCCGCGUGAGGGAAGAAUGCCUUCGGGUUGUAAACCUCUGUCACCCGGGACGAAGCAAUGACGGUACCGGGAGAGGAAGUCACGGCUAACUACGUGCCAGCAGCCGCGGUAACACGUAGGUGGCGAGCGUUAUUCGGAUUCACUGGGCGUAAAGGGUCCGCAGGGGGCCUGCCAAGUCUGUCGUGAAAACCCGGGGCUCAACCCCGGGCCUGCGGUGGAGACUGGCGGGCUUGAGUUCGUGAUGGGCAGACGGAACACCUGGUGUAGCGGUGGAAUGCGUGGAUAUCAGGUGGAACACCGAUGGCGAAGGCGGUCUGCUGGCGCGACACUGACCCUCAUGGACGAAAGCGUGGGUAGCGAA